GUUGUAUAGUCAAGUAAUUAAGUGCAUGUGGUGGAUGCCUUGGCAGUCAGAGGCGAUGAAAGACGUGAUAGCCUGCGAAAAGCUCCGGGGAGGCGGCAAAUAUCCUUUGAUCCGGAGAUGUCUGAAUGGGGGAACCCACCUACUUUAAGGUAGGUAUUGCAACAUGAAUACAUAGUGUUGCAAGGCGAACGAGGGGAAGUGAAACAUCUCAGUACCCUUAGGAAAAGAAAUCAAUUGAGAUUCCCUCAGUAGCGGCGAGCGAACGGGGAUCAGCCCAUUAAGUUAUGUGUGUUUUAGUGGAACGCUCUGGGAAGUGCGAACGUAGAGGGUGAUAUUCCCGUACACGAAAGGGCACACAUAAUGAUGACGAGUAGGGCGAGGCACGUGAAACCUUGUCUGAAUAUGGGGGGACCAUCCUCCAAGGCUAAAUACUCCUGACUGACCGAUAGUGAACCAGUACCGUGAGGGAAAGGCGAAAAGAACCCCUGUGAGGGGAGUGAAAUAGAUCCUGAAACCGCAUGCAUACAAGCAGUGGGAGCACCUUCGUGGUGUGACUGCGUACCUUUUGUAUAAUGGGUCAGCGACUUAUAUUCAGUAGCAAGGUUAACCGUAUAGGGGAGCCGUAGAGAAAUCGAGUCUUAAUAGGGCGUUUAGUUGCUGGGUAUAGACCCGAAACCAGGCGAUCUAUCCAUGAGCAGGUUGAAGGUUGGGUAACACUAACUGGAGGACCGAACCCACUGUCGUUGAAAAGCCAGGGGAUGACUUGUGGAUAGGGGUGAAAGGCUAAUCAAGCCUGGUGAUAGCUGGUUCUCCCCGAAAGCUAUUUAGGUAGCGCCUCGGACGAAUACCAUAGGGGGUAGAGCACUGUUUCGGCUAGGGGGUCAUCCCGACUUACCAAACCGAUGCAAACUCCGAAUACCUAUGAGUACUAUCCGGGAGACAGACUGCGGGUGCUAACGUCCGUAGUCAAGAGGAAAACAAUCCAGACCGCCAGCUAAGGCCCCAAAAUCAUAGUUAAGUGGGAAACGAUGUGGGAAGGCAUAGACAGCUAGGAGGUUGGCUUAGAAGCAGCCACCCUUUAAAGAAAGCGUAAUAGCUCACUAGUCGAGUCGGCCUGCGCGGAAGAUGUAACGGGGCUAAAACUAUGUGCCGAAGCUGCGGAUUUGACAUUAGUCAAGUGGUAGGGGAGCGUUCUGUAAGCCGAUGAAGGUGUAUUGAGAAGUAUGCUGGAGGUAUCAGAAGUGCGAAUGCUGACGUGAGUAACGACAAAACGGGUGAAAAACCCGUUCGCCGAAAGACCANGUAUACUUUGUAUACGUGGUAGGGGAGCGUUCUGUAAGCCGAUGAAGGUGUGUUGAGAAGCAUGCUGGAGGUAUCAGAAGUGCGAAUGCUGACGUGAGUAACGACAAAACGGGUGAAAAACCCGUUCGCCGAAAGACCAAGGGUUCCAGUCCAACGUUAAUCGGGGCUGGGUGAGUCGACCCCUAAGGCGAGGCCGAAAGGCGUAGUCGAUGGGAAAAUGGUUAAUAUUCCAUUACUUCUGUGUAAUGCGAUGAGAGGACGGAGAAGGCUAAAUCAGCCUGGCGUUGGUUGUCCAGGUGAAAGGAUGUAGGCAUGUAUCUUAGGCAAAUCCGGGGUACUCUAUGCUGAGAUCUGAUAGCAAGCUGUACUUGUACAGCGAAGUGGUUGAUGCCAUGCUUCCAGGAAAAGUCUCUAAGCUUCAGUUACACAGGAAUCGUACCCGAAACCGACACAGGUGGUCAGGUCGAGUAGACCAAGGCGCUUGAGAGAACUCUGCUGAAGGAACUAGGCAAAAUGGUACCGUAACUUCGGGAGAAGGUACGCUGUUGUUGGUGAUGGAACUCGCUUCCUGAGCUGACGACAGCCGCAGAAACCAGGCCGCUGCAACUGUUUAUUAAAAACAUAGCACUCUGCAAACACGAAAGUGGACGUAUAGGGUGUGAUGCCUGCCCGGUGCUGGAAGGUUAAUUGAUGGGGUUAGCGUAAGCGAAGCUCUUGAUCGAAGCCCCAGUAAACGGCGGCCGUAACUAUAACGGUCCUAAGGUAGCGAAAUUCCUUGUCGGGUAAGUUCCGACCUGCACGAAUGGCAUAAUGAUGGCGGCGCUGUCUCCAGCAGAGGCUCAGUGAAAUCGAAAUCGCUGUGAAGAUGCAGUGUACCCGCGGCUAGACGGAAAGACCCCGUGAACCUUUACUGCAGCUUGACACUGAACUUUGACCUUACUUGUGUAGGAUAGGUGGGAGGCUUUGAAGCUGGAACGCUAGUUCCAGUGGAGCCGUCCUUGAAAUACCACCCUGGUAAUGUUGAGGUUCUAACUCUGUCCCGUGAUCCGGGACGAGGACCGUGUCUGGUGGGUAGUUUGACUGGGGCGGUCUCCUCCUAAAGAGUAACGGAGGAGUACGAAGGUGCGCUCAGCGUGGUCGGAAAUCACGCGUAGAGUAUAAAGGCAAAAGCGCGCUUAACUGCGAGACCCACAAGUCGAGCAGGUACGAAAGUAGGUCUUAGUGAUCCGGUGGUUCUGUAUGGAAGGGCCAUCGCUCAACGGAUAAAAGGUACUCUGGGGAUAACAGGCUGAUACCGCCCAAGAGUUCAUAUCGACGGCGGUGUUUGGCACCUCGAUGUCGGCUCAUCUCAUCCUGGGGCUGAAGCAGGUCCCAAGGGUAUGGCUGUUCGCCAUUUAAAGAGGUACGCGAGCUGGGUUUAGAACGUCGUGAGACAGUUCGGUCCCUAUCUACCGUGGGCGCUGGAAAUUUGAGAGGAUCUGCUCCUAGUACGAGAGGACCAGAGUGGACGAACCUCUGGUGUACCGGUUGUGACGCCAGUCGCAUCGCCGGGUAGCUAUGUUCGGAAGGGAUAACCGCUGAAAGCAUCUAAGCGGGAAGCCUACCUCAAGAUAAGAUUUCCCUAGGACUUUAUGUCCUCUAAAGAGCCGUUCGAGACUAGGACGUUGAUAGGUUGGAUGUGGAAGCAUAGUGAUAUGUGAAGCUGACCAAUACUAAUUGCUCGUGAGGCUUGACUAUACAACACCCAAGCAGUUG
rnacentral:rRNA from 1 species